rnacentral:lncRNA from 1 species
CAUUGCUUUGUCUACAUGAGUCGGGAAGACUGGAGAUAAGAGUGGGAUAGACAUGCAGCCUUGUUUCUGUCGAGCACCAGAAGCCUGCAUCAGGUCGGCUGGACAUCUCUCUUUGGAUGUCUCGUCGAGAGAUUAUUAGUACAACAGGAGACGAGGGGCUAAAGGUAAGGCAGACCCUAUGUAUUUUUCUCCUCGUCUCUGCUUCUCAGACUUGUCCUUUUGGAGAGCAGUGAUAAAGCAGAUGGAUUUAGUUUUUAUGUCAGUCAUCAUCAGCUGGGUGGAAGUUUUUGUGUGAAAGAAAAGGCUAGCAUUAAAUUGAUUGAUGGUUCAUUUUUCCUGUUUGCUCCUUGGUCAUUGGAGUGACACCAGGAGGGCUGUCUCGUUAGAGGAGUGUGAGACAAUGGCUCUGACACACACAGAAUUCAUCGCUUGUAAUUGAUCCCUGGAAAUAGCAUAGUCACACAUCGUCCCCAAUAAAUUUGCCUGCUGAACUACUUGGGACAAUCUACCCUGCACUUUUUUCAAAGGCUAUAAGAAAUUAACAGCAUGUAAUCUCACAAGGAAUAUUUGUCGUCGAAUUUCUCCAACAAAUGGGAGAUGACAAAUAUUUCACAUGUGGAUUAAUAAUUUCACCUUUGAGUUUUCUUCAUUUCCGGUCACAACCAGGCCAUACAAGAUGUACAAAUGUGUGAUUUCAGGCACAGCUGUGGUUGUACAAGGCACAGGUGUUGUGUCCUAGCAGACUUUAGCCUUAGAUCCUAUUGUUGUUAUCACUCCCCUUAUCAAAACAUCCAGGGUUUUUGCCCUAGCAGGUGAUGCUCCAAGAAGGAAGGAAGAAAUAAUUCUCCAACUGGACCCAAUAUUGUCCACCAGGGUUUACUUUCCCCUGGGGACUUGCUCAUAGAAAAUUCCUCUGCCACCAGCCUGCCCCCAGAAAUGGCUGCAGCCCCUUGAGUGCUCCAACAUAAGUGGGGACAAAAUCUUCUGUCUCUGGCUGUCCUUAGCACAGAUAAGCCUGGCUGGACCUGUCAGAGAAAAUUGAAGAACAAAAGGAGCACACAGGAGGGAUAAACACAAAGAAGGCAAGAAUGAUAAAAUGCUCUGCUUAGAAAGUGCAAAUUUCUGAACCUGCCUGAGCCACCGAGCUCUGAAGGCUCAAGGGCCCUUCUCUUUCUAUAAUUUUCUCCUGAGGAUGAUGCUAUGCUUAACCUGAAAAGAGAGCAGGGCGCCUGACUUCCUGGCUUCUCAGCAAUGGUGUCACUAGUUAUAGAUGCCUCUCCGCAGAAAGUCUGAGUUCUCCUUUUGUUCUUCUCAUGCAGACAGUAUCAAAGCAGCUCACCCUUCUUCCAGCAGGAAACGUGAAUGUGUGAAAAGAGCGACCAUUUGUUAGACUCUGUUUCUGGCCCAGCAUCAUGAUGUUUCUUAGGGUAAGGGGCAGGGGAGGAUGGAGAGGCAAUAGUGAAGAAACUGUUUUGUGAUUCAGAGGAAAGAGCAAGGUGACAAAAAAAAAAAAGGACCAUGAUUUAAUUUUAAUUAAAAUUAAAUAGGCAUACAUGACUGGUGGUUAAUGUUUUAGUGAAGCUCAAGAGACUAAGCGUGGCAGGGGCCCAGCAGAAAGUAGGUCCAGCAUCUCUGCCGCAAAGGCAAAGUCAUCCCCCGUCCUGCCCUGCCCCGCUCCACCCCGCCUGCUGGUCAAGGCCCCUCUGUCUCCCUCCUCCUGAAAGAGCACUGGACUAGAGUGUAGGUCAAGAGUGGCAAUGAUUUGGCUGUUGGCUAGUGGCCUCCUGCCCUAGCCUGGCUGUUUGUGCCCACAACCACCCACCAGCCUGAAGGAUCAGGUUGCUGCUUUGAUUUAGCCUCUCUAUUGCCACUCAGCCCGCACCUUUGCUGUCUCACCCUCCUGUACAGUGAGGCCUUUCCCUGUCCAUUUGAUUCCUAUUAGAGAACCAGGCAUUUCCCCGGUGACGGUGGAAAUAAGGUAUUCCAGGUGCAUGCUGUAAGGAAGGCGCAUGCGCGCAUAUGCAUGCGCACACGCAUGCGCCGUCUAGACCAAGGCGGGCACCUGUUCCAUCCCAGGGAGUAGAGGCGGCCACAUUCCCAAGGGGUUCUGUUACAGGCGGCCACAGGCUCCAAAGCCCAGAGCUGAUUCUGCUCUGGCUCCACUUCUUUCCUCUGCUGUCUGCUUAGUAAAGGAGCAAAGGCCAGGCCCAAGGCCCGCAGGUCACUAUAGAGUAUGGUGACCCCUAAGAAAACAAGAUCAACCGUCUUCAGGGCCCAUCCCCAACCUGCAAGGGGUCCCUGAGUUUACUAGUUAUUUGGGAUCACAAAGAUCCCAAGCAAUUUGCACAGUCUCCUUGCUGCCACUCCUCUCCUAACCAGAAGCAACCACGGAGCGAGACGCCACUUCACAUGGGACAAAGGUGGAUGUGAGAUGUGCAAGACCAGACCCUGAGGAAGGGCCACGGUGACCCAAGGGCUGGGCCCUUCAGCCUAAACUUACCUCUAGACUGAAAGGUGAUAGGUCCCAGGCGGAGCCCAGAGGGAGGGGGUGGGCAGCUGAGAUGGAGGCCAGGCUGGAAGGACUGGAGGGGAGCCAACACUGGUGUGUCUGCACACAGGAGCUGGGAGAGUCUCCCUAGAGCCUCAGGGCUCUUCCAGCAAAAGGUAAAGUUUGAAACCCCCCCACACACACACUCAGAGGAGUCCAGCCCUCCUGCAGCGCUCUUACACCCCAUCCCUGCAACCUGCAACUUGGCCUCCACCCCUUCCCCACACUCUGCCCCUACUAUCCGACAGAGUUUUGAGCCAGGGCCGUAGGGGCCCUGAAGGGAGGCCGGUCUUCUCUUUCACCUUGGUUCCUGGGACGCGCUGCGUCAUCAUGGCAGAGGCCAAGAGCUAGACCCCGUGCCCGGGAUGCAGACUGAGCAGAAAGGGUGGAGGAGGCCGAGCAUGGAGUUGUGGACCAUCUCUCACCCUGCCCAGAGCCCCCAGCACCCCAGUUCUUGCCAUGUGCCCUCUUGUGGGUGCUGAUGGGGCGUGGUGAGAGAUGCAGUGCACAGCCACAGCCUCCUCUCACCAGACCCUGGGACUCACCCUCUGCCCCCCACUCUCAGACAUCUGUUGAAUCCCUGACUUCAAGCCUCACAUGGUGAAGCUCCUCCCUGCGGAAAUAAAGGGUUCAAGAAGGAUCUGGAAGGAGACAGAAACUCAGCUCAGCUGGCACAUCAAGGUCAGGGGCCUCACCUCUCCUAACUUUAAAGAGAAAGAUCUGUAAGCAGAGGAGAGAAGCCAACCGAGUGACCCCUGAGUGGAAAUCAGGGCAGAAAUCUUUUGCAACAGAAUCCCCAUGGGAAACAUGACAAAAUUAGCAACAGGAAUGAGGUCUCCCUCGGAGGAUACAAGAAUCACUGGGUUGAAAAUAACCACAAGGUCAUCUAGUUCAGCUGCCACCACUUGCCUGAAUUUUUCCAGAAAUUUUUGGACAAGCAGUCAUCCAGCCUCAUCCAGCAGCUCAGUACUCAGCAGCCCCCUCCUGAUGGCGGGCAAGGUUUUAAAGGCCCCUGGGGCUCUCGUGCUUCCAGGGGCAGCUCGCAGAGGGCAGCGGGCAGCAGGCAGCACACAGGGGCCCGGGUCCAGCGCUUCCCUCCCUCCGGCUGCUGUGUUUAUACUCCAUUGAUUCACAGCAAAGACUCUUGGCAAGAUCAAGAUUUCUUUACACCGCUUGUGUGGCUGCUUUAGUGAACCAGCCUUAAAACAUGCUCCCGAGGAGGUCAGUUUUUGGUUAUCGUUGGCUUUAAUUCCUGGAAAAGUUCUGGGAAUCACGAUUUCAGAACCAGAAAGAGCUUCGGCAUCUCGUCCAGCCACCUCAAAAUGACUCGUGAGAACCGAAGGGAGCCUGGAGCCUAGGGUGGAAUUCAGACCUUAUUCCCCACUGUUCCCCCCAGUGCCCUCUGAGCUGCAGUCCCAGUGGCUCUGGGACCCUCCAGAAGGUGCUCAGUGGCCUCUCUAGGGUCUCGUGUUACCUGAUCCACUGCAGCCCUGGCCCCCGGUUCUCAGCUCCUCCCUUGGUCUUUGCAGCCCCAUUCCCGGCUAGUAGGCUGGGGAAAGGGUGUGCAGUGUCCAUGCCUUUUCAGUGCCUCGCUUUCCCGUGUCUCCACCUGUGCACAAGCCUAGAAGCGCUCCAAACUCUCUCCUUUUGGAUUUUUUUAAUGGAGGCUUCAUUGUAUUGACUGAUUAAAUCAUCAGCCGCUGGUGAUUGAAUGUAAUCUCCAGCCCUCCCAGGAGACUGGGGUUUGUGCAGCCACUCCUUGACCACUGCCCCCUCCAACCAUUUCAGCCACUAAGUCUUACUCGCCUUAAAAAUAGUCGUGCUUGUUUGGGCAGCUUCUCUCCACGGAUUGAGUCUUUCACAGCUACAUUUUUUGAUCAGUAUCUACCCUUUGCUUCCACUUCAUCCCCUUCCCUCCAGCUGUCACCACAGUUUUUAUCUGUCUUACGCCCCAGCGCUCCCCUGGACCUGCUCUCACCAGCGGACUUCACCUUCCUAAUUCCAAUGUUUACUUUUAGUCCCUGCCUUGCUUGAUGGCCUCAUAAUGUUUGGCACAGCUGACUGUACCCUCCCUUGUAAAAUUCUCCUUUCGCUUGGGUUCCUCGACCCGAUGUUUUUCUCCUAACUUCCGAGUAGGCUCUUUUGCCUACGUGACCCAGGCCUUGAAAUCCUGGAGUCACGUGGCACUCUGUCCCGGAGCUCCUUCCUGAGUCAGCCCACCUCUUUCCUCGUGAUCCCAUCCGCCCCGGUGACUUGGCUCGCCAUCUGUCUGUAAACGAAUGGCCCUUUAAUCUGUGGCACCUGCUCAGACUUGCUCCUGAGCCAGAAUGUCACCACGGGAUGUUGCAUAUGUAUAGCUCUCUGACCCUCGAUGUGUCAGAAGCUGACUCAGAACCUUCUCCCUGGUCUCACCGUCACCACCCAUCACUCUGCAUCCCAGGAAACAGCUUACACUUGCUAUUCAAGGCAGACCCUGAGGGCCUUGAACCCCUUUCCCUUCCUAACCACCCCACUCCUCUUCCAAUAGGCUCUAAGGUCAUGUCCUUCUCUCUAAUGCAGCUGUCCCAGGCUCUGACCAUCACUUCUUAUUUGCACUGUAGCAGACACCUCUCACCACACCUCCCUGUGUCCACUCUUGACCUCUUCCAAUCCAUUCUCAUGUUGCAGCCAGAGAGGAUUUUACAAGGCGCACAUGGGAUUAUGUCACCUGACUGUUUCAAAGCCUUCAAUGGUCCCCAUGUUUAGGAUGGCACCCCAAACCUCAACAUGGCUGGAUUUCUGUCUCACAAUGCUUUUUCUCAAACACAGCUCUCCAGCUUAAUUCAACACUUUCAUUUCUUCCAAUGCCUCCACUCUUUUUCAUGUCUAAUUAGUUAGCAUUCCCUGCCCAUUAGAUUUAAAUUUAAAGACCCAUGACGUUAUGAAUCUGUUUUAUUCACCACUAUACAUAUAUAGCAAUUAGCACAAUGUCUGACAAAUAUUUGGAAACUACAUGAUUUAUUUAUUCAGAAAAUAGUUUUUAAAUGCCUGGUCUGUGUCAAGCUCCAUUCUUGAUUCUUGGUGAUGUGGAAAUAUUUUUUUUAAAAGAGAGACAAAACCCUUUGCCCUUAAGGAGUUAUAUUCUACUAGAGAGAGAGAAACACAAUGAGAAGAAUAGGUGGUAUAUCUGAUGGUGAUAACUGCCAAAGAAAAAAAUUAAGUAGGGAAGGAGGGGGGAUAAAGAAAGAAAGGAGGCAGACAGAAGGAGAGAUGGAGAGACAGAGGGAAGGAGAGAUGGAGAGACAGAGGGAAGCAAGCAGAUAUUUGGGGGAAGAACAUUCCAACAAGGAGAGUGGCAAGUUCAAAGGUCCUGGAUGGAUAUAUGCCUUCAGAGUUCAUGGCCAGAAAGAAGGUCAGUAUGACUAGAGAGAAUGAGGCAGGGAGAGCAGUGGAAGAUCAGUGCGGAGACUCGAAGGGCUCCCUGAUGCAGGGCUGGUGGUCCUGAGGGAGCUGUCGCCGUGUGUGCAACGCAGAGCUGCUGGAGCGCUCUGGGUAGAGGGGUGCUGUGGCAGGACGAGGAUUUCAGCGGUCUCACUCAGCAUGCCAGCAUGCUCUGUUGGAAACAAACUGAACAGGAGUAAAGAUGGGAGCAAAAGUGCCUGGUAGGAGGCUGCUGCCGCCACCCAGGUGAUCCAUAAUGGCAGCUGCAACCAGGGUGGUAGCAGAGAGGUUGAAUCCUUUACACAUUUUGAAGGUAGAGGUGACAGGGUUUCCUGAUGAUCGGAAUGUAGCAUUUACGAGAAAGAGGAAUCGAGAACGAUUCCAACGGUAACCCUAAGUUUGGUUUCGGAAUCUUGGAAUCUGUUUCUGUUUUGUAAGUUCUGUGGUAUCAAAUGCCACGGGUUAGUGGUGUCAUGUUACUUGUUUUUCCAAGUGGGAAAUGUGGGGAGAGAAAUAAUUUGGGAGGUUGGGACUAACAUGUACACACUGUGAUAUAUAAAAUUGAUAAGUAACAAGGACCUACUUCCCAGCACAGGUAAAUCUACUCAAUGAUGUACAGGGUAAAAGAGACUGAAAAGGAAUGAUUCUAUGUAAGUGUGUGUGUGUGUGUGUGUGUGUGUGUGUGUGAGAUUCACUUUGCUGUGCACCUGAAACUAACACAACAUUGUAAGUCAAUUACACUCCAAUAAAA